UUCCCUUCGGGGCUUUCUGCAAGGUGCUGCAUGGUUGUCGUCAGCUCGUGCCGUGAGGUGUCGGGUUAAGUCCCAUAACGAGCGCAACCCUUAUCGUUAGUUGCCAGCUGGUAAAGCAGGGGACUCUAGCGAAACUGCCACCGUAAGGUGAGAGGAAGGUGGGAUGACGUCAAAUCAGCACGGCCCUUAUGUCCAGGGCUACACACGUGUUACAAUGGCCGGCACAGAGGGCAGCUACCUGGUGACAGGAUGCUAAUCUCGAAAACCGGUCUCAGUUCGGAUCGAAGUCUGCAACUCGACUUCGUGAAGCUGGAUUCGCUAGUAAUCGCGCAUCAGCCAUGGCGCGGUGAAUACGUUCCCGGGCCUU
rnacentral:rRNA from 1 species